rnacentral:rRNA from 1 species
GACGAACGCUGGCGGCGUGCCUAACACAUGCAAGUCGAACGGAAAGGCCCUGCUUUUGUGGGGUGCUCGAGUGGCGAUCGGGUGAGUAACACGUGAGUAACCUGCCCUUGACUUUGGGAUAACUUCAGGAAACUGGGGCUAAUAUCGGAUAGGAGCUCCUGCUGCAUGGUGGGGGUUGGAAAGUUUCGGCGGUUGGGGAUGGACUCGCGGCUUAUCAGCUUGUUGGUGGGGUAGUGGCUGACCAAGGCUUUGACGGGUAGCCGGCCUGGGAGGGUGGCCGGCCACAUUACGCCUGAGGUACGGCCCAGACUGCUACGGUAGGCAACAGGGGGGAGUAUUACACAGUGGGCGCAAGCCUGAUGCGGCGGCGCCGCGUUCGGGAUGACGGCUUUCUGGUUGUGAACCGCUUUCGCCUGUGACGAAGCGUGAGUGACGGUAAUGGGUAAAGAAGCACCGGCUAACUACGUG